rnacentral:piRNA from 1 species
UUCAACGUUCAAAUUCAAAGG